rnacentral:miRNA from 1 species
UGUUUAUAACGUCGACGUCAUCAACGCCAAACUUGGUCGUGUUUAUGACGUCGAAUAUCGACGUCAUAAACAACACAGUUGAUCGUGCUUAUGACGUCGAAUAACGACGUCUUAAACACCUAAGUUGAUCGUGUUUAUAACGUCGACGUCAUAAGCACCAAAGUUGAUCGUGUUUAUGACGUCGAAUAUCGACGUCUUAAACACCUAAGUUGAUCGUAUUUAUAACCUCGACGUCAUAAACA